rnacentral:rRNA from 1 species
UAGGGAAUCUUCCACAAAUGGACGAAAGUCUGAUGGAGCAACGCCGCGUGAGUGAAGAAGGGUUUCGGCUCGUAAAACUCUGUUGUUAAAGAAGAACAUAUCUGAGAGUAACUAUUCAGGUAUUGACGGUAUUUAACCAGAAAGCCACGGCUAACUACGUGCCAC